rnacentral:lncRNA from 1 species
AAGCAAUUGAUCUCUCUUUACCCCAACCUUUACUCCCCAGAUGCCUACUUACAUAUUGACAUCGAUGUGAUAAACUCUUUGAAAGAAGUUUCACAACCACACAGAGGUGAAAAGACAAAUGCCAGCUUAUCAAGAAGAAAGGAAGCACAUGGAAUAGAGGGCAAAGAUCUUAACACAUGCUCCUGACACUC